GGAUUUGGCUAGUUGUGCGGUUUAAAAGUAUAGACGUGCAAUGGAAAAAGGGUUAUGGGGACGGACUUGUAAAGAUGAGAAAGGAAGAUUGCUCGAGCAAAUUUUUAAGUUCAAGUUCAAAGGAAGGAUGAUAGUAGAUUACGUGGUGUUAUGAUCAGGAAUAAGAUAUCAAUGAUUCGUGGGUUGAUGUGAGUUACGGUUAUUAUAAGGGUCGGCGACUGACACAUUUUGGCAACCUUCUCCUCCUCAUCAUUUUUGCAUGUAAAUUAAUGUAUAGUAUAUAGAGUGGCAAGAGGGUUCCACUGCUUUCAGAAUGUUUUUAGAAAUAUGUACUUGUUAAAUAAUGGUUUUUGAAAUUAUAUUAUAUGUGUGCUUUUGAAA